AGUUUCUGCUCACGAAAAUAAUCACGAUCGAGAUUGAAAAUAAGGUGGAAGUAAUAAAGCGAUUGGCAAGAGGUGAAAAGCCAUCGGUCAUUGGAAAAGCAUUAGGCUACAAUUGGGCAAUGAUCGGAACAAUUUUAAUAGAGCAUAUGAAAAGCCCUGCCCUGAUGAAAGCUACAAUUGUCUACUGAGCAAAAAAAAGCUACUAAGCAACGCAGUGGUUAAAUUAUUGAACAUAUAUUUAAAGAACCUGUCCAUGGAAGAUUAACUGCAAUAGGCAACGUCGAUAAAGUAGCAGAUUGUAGCCAGUGUCUGGAAAGAAGACUGGGGCGGCUGAUUGUUUCCUGGUUUCAUGAUUUACUCUCUCUUGUUUUGUCUGGUGUACAACUUUCCCAACCAACAUCAACUGCAAUGAAAUGUGCAAAAUGUGUCUAUGUGCAAAAAUACGGGACAUUGUGUAAUGCAGGAGUUCCCAACCUGGGGUCCACAGACCACUCGGUAAAUGGUAAGAGUCCACUGCAAAAAAACAGUUGGGAACCCCUGGCGUAUGGAACCCUGAGAUGCAGCCAAAGGGAUUUGUCGCUCAUCUAAUGGUCGUCAAGUAUCAUGGACAACAGAUACUGCAUGAAUUAAAAUGGCAUGAUAACUCACUAUUUUUCUUGAAUGACCCAAACAAGGAGCCAGUAUCUAAUGCCAGAUAUGGAUGGAGUCUUUUGAAUAUGUGGAAGAGAGGUACUGUAAUAACUUAAGGAGACUGGGAAGAGUUCUGCAGACCUAUUGUGGAUAGCUGUUGGGAGGUGGGCUGUAGAUUUUCAAAAGGUGGAGGCAGUAAAAUAUCAGAAGAAAUGGAUGAUAUUGUAGCGGUGUGCUACACGCAGUGCUAAAGUUACGACACGGAGUCGGUAACUGCAGUCGAAGGAAAAAAACUUUAUUCGAAAUCCUCAGCCUCACUUUUAAGCCUCCCUCAACCUGCCCCCCGUGGCGCAGAGGCUGCAAAGCUCUGUGCUCGCAAACCCCCGUAGGCUAUCUAAUUGUGAGCCGGUUCGGAUGUGCCAGGAAAUGGGUCACCACAAUAUGUUGUUUAAUGUCAAUGUUGCAGAAGGGAAGAAUAAGACUGAAAUUUAUUAAGAAAACAAAUGUGGCUCCGGAUGUGAGACUAGAAUUCCAAAUGAGGUCCAGUUCACAUCCAGUAGAAUGAAACCUUUAAGAUAUGAAUGAAAGAUGCUGGAGAAAUAAUUUUAGAAAGCAAUGGGUUUUGAGGACAGAUUGGUUGCAUGAUAUAAUGGGAAUUAAGCCAGCCAAAUAAAGGUAGCAAGCAGUCUUUCUGACAAACUAGAUAUGGAUUUGACACCUAGUUCAGGCAGUAUGAACAAUAGUGAACAGCUAAAAAAGGACUGGACACCAACAGGUAUCAGUCAAUUAGUAUUAUUUUACUCUCGCUCUUACCAAGCUAGGGAAGAUUAUAACUGAUUCAGGACUUUAAGUUAGGCAAGCAUUUGGAAAACAUGGUGACAGACUUGCGAUGGAAGGGUUGGCAUAGAUAAGCAGGAUUGGACCAAGCCUUUGUGCAGAUGGAUAAUGGUGGGGGGGGGGGGGGAAUGAAUAUAAUUGUCCUUUGUAAAGAACAAUUUAUGUGUCUUUGAUAAUGAACAAUAUCAAUUUAUGUGAGGCUCUCCCUCAAAUAAUGUGGCUUCCUCCUUUCAGACUCUUGCACAUCUUUCUCAAGUCUGAAACAGCAGAAAUAUUUGCAGCAUUAUAAUUCUGAAAUUAGACUUGUGGAACAGUGGAUUUUCUCAAUUACACCAAUGGGAAGUAGAGGAGGACAGGAUCUGCUCUGCUCCACUUAUCUGUCAUUGGAAAUCAGAAAUAGUAUUUAGCAUGAUAUUAACUAGAUUACUGAUUAAAACACAUUUGUUUAUAACUGGGUUACGUUAUGUGUGGUGUCAAAAAGAAAAAGAUCAUGAAAAAAGUAUGAAUAGGUAUGAUCUGAAUGAAAGCACCAGAAGAAACUUUGAUUUAUUAACUGUUUCCCAGGGCCAAAUACCUAGAAACAAUUCAAAUGGCACUUUGCUCAUAAUAGUAUUUUUAGGGUUAGCUAUCUUCAAUUAACUGUUUCCCUUUGCACCCUGAGGCCAUCCGAAAUGAAUUCAGUGACAGACAUUAUGCAAAAACAUUACCAUCCCAAGGACAACAAUAUUUGAUACUUUUUAAAAAAAUAAUAUAUAUAGAUGGGAUUGGGGUAGAGAGGGAGCAGGAGGUUUAACUGAGGUGAGAACAAAUCUAAAACUUUUGCCGUUAGGUCACUUGGAUUUGCCGACAUUAGACUUUACAUAUUAUAAGCUGCAGAUGGUCCAGACGUGCAAUAACUAUACAACAAAGUGUUCCCUCUAAAAAGGAACUGCACUUGGAAUUCAUAGACAGUCUUCUGUUACUUGAAGAGUCAUUGUUCAGUUUCCGUUGACAGAUGGUGAUUGUGUAGCAGAGAAAGGAAUAGGCAAAAUACAUUGCAUACACACAACAGCAAUAAUUGGCUUUAAUUACAAUUUAGAGGUUACAGGGAUUUGAAACUACUUGUUAAAACAAUGGCUUUCAUAGUAUUUUCUAUAAUAUGCAUAUGAAGUAAUGUUUCGUUUUCAGGACGACGUAUAAAUGUGUGACAGAAGUUGGACAACCCUUUUCGAUUCAAGCUCGGCAGGAACAAAGACCAGUUUCUGCCCUUCACUAGAGUUUCAAGUUAACUGCUUCUCGGGAAAAGCAUGGCGCAGAAGUAAUUACAUCCUGCGGUGAAGGCAGGUAUCAGAAGUUUGGAAGCGUGCAUGCACUUUAUUGUGGGGAGAAGGCCUCAUUUCCACGUUGUCCAGCUUA